UGGGGAAUUUUGGACAAUGGGCGAAAGCCUGAUCCAGCAAUGCCGCGUGUGUGAAGAAGGCCUUCGGGUUGUAAAGCACUUUUGUCCGGAAAGAAAUCCUUGGCUCUAAUACAGUCGGGGGAUGACGGUACCGGAAGAAUAAGCACCGGCUAACUACGUGCCAGCAGCCGCGGUAAUACGUAGGGUGCAAGCGUUAAUCGGAAUUACUGGGCGUAAAGCGUGCGCAGGCGGUUUGCUAAGACCGAUGUGAAAUCCCCGGGCUCAACCUGGGAACUGCAUUGGUGACUGGCAGGCUAGAGUAUGGCAGAGGGGGGUAGAAUUCCACGUGUAGCAGUGAAAUGCGUAGAGAUGUGGAGGAAUACCGGUGGCGAAGGCAGCCCCCUGGGCCAAUACUGACGCUCAUGCACGAAAGCGUGGGGAGCAAAACAGGAUUAGAUACCCUGGUAGUCCACGCCCUAAACGAUGUCAACUAGUUGUUGGGGAUUCAUUUCCUUAGUAACGUAGCUAACGCGUGAAGUUGACCGCCUGGGGAGUACGGUCGCAAGAUUAAAACUCAAAUGAAUUGAC
rnacentral:rRNA from 1 species